UACGAAGGGUGCUAGCGUUGUUCGGAAUCACUGGGCGUAAAGCGCGCGUAGGCGGCUUAACAAGUCAGGGGUGAAAUCCCACGGCUCAACCGUGGAACUGCCUUUGAAACUGUUAAGCUGGAGUGUCGGAGGGGAUAGCGGAAUUGCUAAUGUAGAGGUGAAAUUCGUAGAUAUUAGCAGGAACACCGGUGGCGAAGGCGGCUAUCUGGACGACAACUGACGCUGAGGCGCGAAAGCGUGGGGAGCAAACAGG
rnacentral:rRNA from 1 species